CCUACGGGGAGCAGCAGUAGGGAAUCUUUCACAAUGGGCGAAAGCCUGAUGGAGCAACGCCGCGUGCAGGAUGAAGGCCUUCGGGUUGUAAACUGCUUUUAUAAGCGAGAAAUAUGAUGGUAACUUAUGAAUAAGGAUCGGCUAACUACGUGCCAGCAGCCGCGGUCAUACGUAGGAUCCGAGCAUUAUCCGGAGUGACUGGGUGUAAAGAGUUGCGUAGGUGGCAUAAUAAGUAACUAGUGAAAUCUGGUGGCUCAACCAUUCAGACUAUUAGCUAAACUGUUAAGCUCGAGACCGUUAGGGGUAACUGGAAUUUCUAGUGUAGGAGUGAAAUCCGUAGAUAUUAGAAGGAACACCAAUAGCGUAGGCAGGUUGCUGGGACGGUUCUGACACUAAGGCACGAAAGCGUAGGGAGCAAACGGGAUUAGAUACCCUAGUAGUC
rnacentral:rRNA from 1 species